UGGAGAUUACGAAAGCAGGCGGGUCAACCGAGAUAAGUCUUAUCUCGGCUUCAAGGGUUGAAUUUAUCGUCACGCCAUUGGAAGCGAUGCUUCUUCCAGAGCAAUAAUAAUAGAGCCAUGCAUGCAAACGCAGCCUAGACGAGGCUGGGCCGGGACACCCUCUCGCGCGAUCGUGCGGACCCGCCAGUCAACUGGCCCGAACCGCGGCGUCACACCAUAGACAAGAAAAAUUAUGCAAAUGAUGUAGCGCCUUGGAAAGGCAGUUCAAAUCAAGUGGCUGCCUCUUCUCCUCCCCCUCCUCCUCCUCCCCCAUCCAAAUGAGAGGGAGAGAGAGAGAGAAGAGGGAGAGAAUUGGAAUAUAAUCACAAAUAGUAUGCGAGAAGUCCAUCCUUAUUUUUGAUUAUUUGAUUACAAUGCGCAAGUCGUACAACGCCAAAGGAAACGAAGAUUUGAAUUUUGUGGGAGAUCAUAUUUGAAAAUCGCGCAACUUCGCUUGGAAGUGGAUGUGUGUGAUGAUCAAGUGAGGACACGCGGCGUGGAGCAGAAGAGGGGAAGCAUGGGGGGGGAAUCCCUCUACGUGAUGGAAUUCUUUCACGAGGAUUACUUGGCGUGGACAGGAUGAGAUUUUUUUCUUUUUUUUUUUUGGUCUCGCCUUUCGUCACUCCACGUGAACUUUUCGGUGACCCGGCCCGAAGAGAUUCAAGUGCAGAGUUAUUUGGAGGACGAAAAGCAAACGUAGCCUGCUGUUUAGCAUUUCUGACACAUUUUAGCCGUUAGCAUGGAGUGAACAUGACCGUACGUUUCAUUGGGGGUGGGGGUAAGGGGGGGUUAUUUUUCGAGGCGUUUACAACGAAGCAAAGCUUCUUUAUCAUGUCACCGAGGAUGAGUUCAAAGACCCUUUUGGACGACGGCCAAAACAAGAAGCGUAUCUUUGAACAAUGUUGACGUGUAAGCUCUUCACAUCUAGCUAAAGUUAAGAUAGUCCUUUCGGCAAGCACUCCGGGACGUUCCUAUCUCAUAAUAAAGUUGAUUUUGAACGCUG